rnacentral:rRNA from 1 species
AGUCCCGUAACGAGCGCAACCCUUGUCCUUAGUUACCAGCACGUUAUGGUGGGCACUCUAAGGAGACUGCCGGUGACAAACCGGAGGAAGGUGGGGAUGACGUCAAGUCAUCAUGGCCCUUACGGCCAGGGCUACACACGUGCUACAAUGGUCGGUACAAAGGGUUGCCAAGCCGCGAGGUGGAGCUAAUCCCAUAAAACCGAUCGUAGUCCGGAUCGCAGUCUGCAACUCGACUGCGUGAAGUCGGAAUCGCUAGUAAUCGUGAAUCAGAAUGUCACGGUGAAUACGUUCCCGGGCCUUGUACACACCGCCCGUCACACCAUG